GAACAAGUGGCCUGCUCAAGCAUCUCGUAAUCACACCUGACAGACAUGGAAUUCAUGGAUUGUUGCCGAACUGGAUCGUUGCAUAAUACACGUGCGACCUACUUUUUGGUUUUGUUCGCCAGAUUAUCGUGGACGUUCGCACACAUCGAGUCGCCAUUCCUUUUCACGUCGUGACGCAGAGAAUUCUGGGAGUAGAGUCCAUUACUGGAGGAAAAAAAUAAUAACACAAGAACCACAGAAAGCCGGGGAAACCUAUAUUUCGUUUACGUAGUACGUAUUUUUGGCUUUCAUAUCAUAUGACGUCACAAAAGUGACGGGGGUCAACUCUAAAACAAAACACAGUUAUCAGAGUGAGUCAAUUGUUCGUUUUAUGUAUUAGUCUUAUUUAUGAUUGGUGGCAAAUACAUGGAAUUUCGUAGAAUUUUCUCACUCCAGUACAGCAUAAGCAUCAAUGCAUUUGAGGUUGACCCCCCGCCAAAUUCGAAUUCACUGCAUAGUGCUGUAAUGAAACCCAAGAAUAGCCCGCCGAAGUAAUAAUUAACCCCGCUCCCCUGGCCAAAUCAAUAAUCCCCUCUGUAUUAAGUUCACCGCUUGCAUGGGCGUUUUGGUCGGGCAAUCGUCAGAGCAAGCCCCUUUCACCUUUUAGAUUGUGGGUUCUAUACUCACAUUGGACUAAUGACACUUCUGUGAAAAGAGUAAGCCAAUAUUCCACUGAUCAUGAAAGUCGUGGGUUUUCUCUGGGUACUCUCCCACAGAAAAUGCGGACAUGAUUGGUUGAAUUUAGACCCCUAACAUACCCUUCCACCGUAGCUGUGCUCCGUAGUCACAUAUGAAACAUAAGAUGGCUGCAACAAAUGUCUUAUUAAUUUAAGGCUCCGACCGGAUCAGGUUGAGCUUCGACGUCGUUCGCAAUUCAGCUUAGCUCUCAUCUGCAAGUAAGGAUGAUUGGCACACUCCCACUUACUUAAAUUGAAUGUACUUGUACCAAGCAGUUUAUUAAUAGAUUAUUGAAGGUCUUUUGUACAUGGAAAUUUUGAUUGUAAAUUUUACAAAUUUAUUGGAUUAAACAUGAGUUGCAAAAAAAGGCAACUAUAGGCCCUCUGGAAUCAAAUGUGUCGCCCUGCAAAUGUGAUUUCAGUGCAGCGCUCUAAAAGACUAAGAUACAGAAACUCCAAAUUCAUGUAUUUAUUCUAAGGUGAUACCAGUGUAAUAUGUGUAAAUAUCAGGAUAUAUAUUGGACAUCUUACUUGAUUGAACUAAUUGUUGAACUUUUUUCGUACAUGGAAAUUCUGAGUAUAAAUUUUAUAUGUUUAUCCAGGAGCAGUUGCAAAAAGUGCAAUUUCUCUUGGGUGGUUUCACUACAGCAUUAUGCAGUGAAUCUGACGGGGGGUCAACCUCAAAUGUAUUGAUGUUGAUGCUGUAUUGGGGUAAAGACCUGCCUAAAAUGCUCAUGUUUUGUGACUGGCUUUCACAAACAAAAACGAUCAUUGUUCGUGACUCGUUCUUUAGAAAGACGAUUUCUACUGUAUAUAUAGAUUUAUUGUCUUUCAUUGUUGUAGUUUCGAUUCCUGCCAGAGGGCCUGUAGUUUGCUAUUGCUCCUGGUCUAUAGGUCUAGUAAAUGAUAAAAACUUACACUCGAAAUUGCCAUCUACAAAAAACCUUCAACACUAAUUAUUUCUAUCGAGUGAGAUGCCCAAAAUCCUGAUGACAAUAUUGGUUUUAUAUUUCAAAUUUUGUUUUAACAUUUAUAGCCAUCAACACAAAGGAGAAAAACGUUUUGGUUCCAGACCGUAGAAUUCAAGUUGAUGUUAACAGAAAUGAACGAUGAUGUCAAACAAAGCUUUUGUUGGCAGAGAAGUAUUCACCUAAUGAACUGUCGGAUGCUCAGCGUAUUUCAUUGCAUGCUAUGCUAUUAUGUUUUCGCGGUUUCUAUUCACUCUAUUGUGAAAGGUUUUUAGUUUUACAACGACUUUGUGUUAUGACUUAUGUGGAUCAUGUCAAGCAGAGUUGUGAAUAUAGAGCGUGUUUG